rnacentral:rRNA from 1 species
AAACCAACAGGGAUUGCCUUAGUAACUGCGAGUGAAGCGGCAAGAGCUCAAAUUUGAAAUCUGGCAUCCGCCCGAAUUGUAAUUUGUAGAAGCAACUUUUGAACUAGUCCUUGCAUAUGUUCCUUGGAACAGGACAUCAUAGAGGGUGAGAAUCCCGUUCAUGGUGGGGAGUCUAGUUCUCUGUAAAGUGCUUUCGACGAGUCGAGUUGUUUGGGAAUGCAGCUCUAAGUGGGUGGUAAAUUCCAUCUAAAGCUAAAUAUUGGCGAGAGACCGAUAGCGAACAAGUACAGUGAUGGAAAGAUGAAAAGUACUCCGAAAGGAGAGUGAAAUAGGACGUGAAAUUGUUGAAAGGGAAGUGCUUGAGAUCAGUCAUAGAGUUUAGUGAUCAGCUUUCUUUUUAGUUUGUGCACUUGCUAUUCUCUAGGCCAGCAUCAGUUUGAGGAUUAGGAUAAUUGCAUAGGAAUGUGGCUGUUUCGGCAGUGUUAUAGCCUGUGUCGAUACUACUUUUCAGACUGAGGACCGCGCAUUUGCUAGGAUGUUGGCAUAAUGAUCUUAAGCAGC